GCCCCCGUAGCUCAGUGGAUAGAGCGCUAGCCUCCGGAGCUAGAGACCCGUGUUCGAGUCACGGCGGGGGUA
rnacentral:tRNA from 1 species